rnacentral:rRNA from 1 species
ACUCAAAUGAAUAGACGGGGGCCCGCACAAGCGGUGGAGCAUGUGGUUCAAUUCGACGCAACGCGAAGAACCUUACCCAGGCUCGAACGGCGCGUGGUAGGAGCCCGAAAGGGUGACGACUUUACUCUGUAAAGAGCGCGUCGAGGUGCUGCAUGGCUGUCGUCAGCUCGUGCCGUGAGGUGUUGGGUUAAGUCCCGCAACGAGCGCAACCCUCGUCCCUAGUUGCUCACUCCCGGUUCGCCGGGAAAGCACUCUAGGGAGACCGCUAGCGAUAAGCUGGAGGAAGGUGGGGACGACGUCAAGUCAUCAUGGCCUUUAUGUCUGGGGCCACACACGUGCUACAAUGGACGGUACAAAGGGCUGCGAAAGGGCGACCUGGAGCCAAUCCCAAAAAACCGUCCUCAGUUCGGAUUGCAGUCUGCAACUCGACUGCAUGAAGCUGGAAUCGCUAGUAAUCGCGGAUCAGCACGCCGCGGUGAAUACGUUCCCGGGCCUUGUACACACCGCCCGU